rfam:Ornithorhynchus anatinus chromosome 4, whole genome shotgun sequence.
ACACUCUUGGGAUUGCACCUGGAGAGUUUCCAGUACUCUACCAGUUUCAGCUACAGGGGGGAGAGUCAAUCAGAGGUUUACCCAUUCCAUUCCUAGCUUGGGCAGUGUCUAGAGAGUGGAAGAGAAUCUGCUACAAGU